rnacentral:rRNA from 1 species
UACGUAGGGGGCAAGCGUUGUCCGGAUUUAUUGGGCGUAAAGAGCGUGUAGGCGGUUUGGUAGGUCCGUUGUGAAAACUCGAGGCUCAACCUCGAGACGCCGAUGGAAACCAUCAGACUAGAGUCCGGAAGAGGAGAGUGGAAUUCCUGGUGUAGCGGUGAAAUGCGCAGAUAUCAGGAGGAACACCGGUGGCGAAGGCGGGUCUCUGGGCAGUAACUGACGCUGAGGAGCGAAAGCGUGGGGAGCAAACAGG